rnacentral:lncRNA from 1 species
UACAUCAUUACCAAUAUAAUAAUUAUCAUGUGCUAUAGUAGAUCUAUGUGCCAAUGUUCUUUUUCCUUUUUUUGUUUUAUUACAAAUUGUGACAACCCAUCCCUAAAUUUUACAAUUUUAUAAAUUUCAAUCGAGUGAUUUGAUGAAAUUGCCCUUGAGGCGAGGAUUGUUGACUUUUGUUGAUCGUCAUUCAAAGAGACGUACAACCUGUCUUGUCA